CGUAUCGAAGGGAAAAUCAAAGGCAAUACGAAUUAAGGGCUCAAAGUGAACAGGAAUGCUGCACUUGGAUAUCUGCAAUAAGAGAUGCCAGUUUCAACAAACUUUUGCUCCAGAAAGAGGAAUUGGAGCAGAAACAUUUGCAUCUGCUCCAAGUCGUGGAAAGCGAGAAAACUGCAAAAUGGCAAUAUACGCAACACUGUGAAGAAUUAGCUUCGGAAAUUAAGAAACUUAGAGCCGAGUUGUGUGCUUUGAAGAAAGAAUGGCGACCCAGCACUCCAGCAGUUCCUUCUUUAACUCAACAGAGUGGCAGCUGUGCCACUUUGGGGACCUCCAGCAUUGGAUCUGGCAGUCAACCAGUUUCUCCAAUACCACAAG